UACGUCAAGUCAUCAUGGCCCUUACGGCCUGGGCUACACACGUGCUACAAUGGUCGGUACAGAGGGUUGCCAAGCCGCGAGGUGGAGCUAAUCCCAGAAAACCGAUCGUAGUCCGGAUCGCAGUCUGCAACUCGACUGCGUGAAGUCGGAAUCGCUAGUAAUCGCGAAUCAGAAUGUCGCGGUGAAUACGUUCCCGGGCCUUGUACACACCGCCCGUCACACCAUGGGAGUGGGUUGCACCAGAAGUAGCUAGUCUAACCUUCGGGAGGACGGUUACCACGGUGUGAUUCAUGACUGGGGUGAAGUCGUAACAAGGUAGCCGUAG
rnacentral:rRNA from 1 species